rnacentral:rRNA from 1 species
UCGAGAAGACCUAUGAGCUAUAAUUUAUUAUUAUUAGUAUUAUUUAUUCUUAUUGGUAGUAUAUAAAUUUUAAUUGGGGUGAUUAAGGAAUAAGGUUUGUAGUUUUAGUAACUUCCUUAUUAAUAAUGAUUGUUAAAUAAAGUAACCAAUAUUAUUGCUUAUACUAUAGUUACCAUAGGGAUAACAGCGUAAUUAUUUAGAGAGUUCUUAUUGAAUAAUAAGAUUGCGACCUCGAUGUUGG